AAUUGUGCUUCAAGAAUAUCUCCUUGGGAGAUGACAGAGAGUAGGAGAAGCGUCUCAUCACGUGCUGGCUGAUAUUUAGAAAAUAAACAGAAUUGUGGGAAAGGCUUCUCUUAGCUUAUAAUUGAUGGCGAAACCAGCUUUCAAUCCCUGUCAGAGAAGCUCCUUUUGACAGUGUGCAGCAGUUACUGCAGAGACUUACAACUUGUCAAGAUGCAGAGAACAAAUGUCUGUGCAGUGCUCAGCCACAGCUGACUCCAAAGCUCCAGGAUGUUGUAUAAGAGGAGGAGACAGGAUUAAAUGCCUGGGGUCAGAAAGGACUGCUAUGAGACACUGUCUUCUGACGUGCCAUGCCUGGUGCAGUGAUAAACUCACAGCCUAUACGAAUGCUUACACAGAACUGCACAAGUUCAAGCCAGUCCCUAUUGCAGCAUCAAGGAGAGAGAACCCC
rnacentral:lncRNA from 1 species